AUCAUCGAAUUUUUGAACGCACAUUGCGCCCGCCAGUAUUCUGGCGGGCAUGCCUGUUCGAGCGUCANUACAACCCUCAGGCCCCCCGGGCCUGGCGUUGGGGAUCGGCGGAGCGCCCCCUGCGGGCACACGCCGUCCCCCAAAUACAGUGGCGGUCCCGCCGCAGCUUCCAUUGCGUAGUAGCUAACACCUCGCAACUGGAGAGCGGCGCGGCCACGCCGUAAAACACCCAACUUCUGAAUGUUGACCUCGAAUCAGGUAGGAAUACCCGCUGAACUUAAGCAUAUCAAUAAGCGGAGGAAAAGAAACCAACAGGGAUUGCCCCAGUAACGGCGAGUGAAGCGGCAACAGCUCAAAUUUGAAAUCUGGCUCUCGGGCCCGAGUUGUAAUUUGUAGAGGAUGCUUUUGGUGAGGUGCCUUCCGAGUUCCCUGGAACGGGACGCCAUAGAGGGUGAGAGCCCCGUCUGGUUGGACACCGAUCCUCUGUAAAGCUCCUUCGACGAGUCGAGUAGUUUGGGAAUGCUGCUCUAAAUGGGAGGUAUAUGUCUUCUAAAGCUAAAUACCGGCCAGAGACCGAUAGCGCACAAGUAGAGUGAUCGAAAGAUGAAAAGAACUUUGAAAAGAGAGUUAAACAGUACGUGAAAUUGUUGAAAGGGAAGCGCUUGUGACCAGACUUGGGCUUGGUUGAUCAUCCGGGGUUCUCCCCGGUGCACUCUUCCGGCUCAGGCCAGCAUCAGUUCGCCCUGGGGGACAAAGGCUUCGGGAAUGUGGCUCUCUCCGGGGAGUGUUAUAGCCCGUUGCGUAAUACCCUGUGGCGGACUGAGGUUCGCGCAUUCGCAAGGAUGCUGGCGUAAUGGUCAUCAGUGACCCGUCUUGAAAACACGGACCA
rnacentral:rRNA from 1 species